rnacentral:rRNA from 1 species
AGAGUUUGAUCAUGGCUCAGGAUGAACGCUGGCGGCGUGCCUAACACAUGCAAGUCGAACGGAGUUAUGAUGAAACCUAGUGAUUCAUAACUUAGUGGCGGACGGGUGAGUAACGUGUGGGUAACCUGCCGUAUACAGGGGGAUAACACUUAGAAAUAGGUGCUAAAACCGCAUAAGCGCACAGGAUCGCAUGAUCCGGUGUGAAAAACUCCGGUGGUAUACGAUGGACCCGCAUCUGAUUAGCUAGUUGGUGAGGUAACGGCCCACCAAGGCGACGAUCAGUAGCCGGCCUGAGAGGGUGAACGGCCACAUUGGGACUGAGACACGGCCCAAACUCCUACGGGAGGCAGCAGUGGGGAAUAUUGCACAAUGGGGGAAACCCUGAUGCAGCAACGCCGCGUGAGUGAAGAAGUAUUUCGGUAUGUAAAGCUCUAUCAGCAGGGAAGAAAAUGACGGUACCUGACUAAGAAGCCCCGGCUAACUACGUGCCAGCAGCCGCGGUAAUACGUAGGGGGCAAGCGUUAUCCGGAUUUACUGGGUGUAAAGGGAGCGUAGACGGUUAAGCAAGUCUGAAGUGAAAUGCCGGGGCUCAACCCCGGAACUGCUUUGGAAACUGUUAAACUGGAGUGCAGGAGAGGUAAGUGGAAUUCCUAGUGUAGCGGUGAAAUGCGUAGAUAUUAGGAGGAACACCAGUGGCGAAGGCGGCUUACUGGACUGUAACUGACGUUGAGGCUCGAAAGCGUGGGGAGCAAACAGGAUUAGAUACCCUGGUAGUCCACGCCGUAAACGAUGAUUACUAG